GAUGAACGCUAGCGGGAGGCCUAAUACAUGCAAGUCGAGCGGUAGAGUGACUUCGGUUGCUUGAGAGCGGCGAACGGGUGAGUAACGCGUACACAAUCUACCUUUAAGAGGGAAUAGCCCUGGGAAACUGGGAUUAAUGCCCCAUGGCAUCACGAGACGGCAUCGUUUUGUGAUUAAAGCUGAGGUGCUUAGAGAUGAGUGUGCGUCUGAUUAGCUAGUUGGUGCGGUAACGGCGCACCAAGGCGACGAUCAGUAGGGGGCGUGAGAGCGUGGACCCCCCACACGGGUACUGAGACACGGACCCGACUCCUACGGGAGGCAGCAGUAAGGAAUAUUGGUCAAAUGGAGGAAACUCUGAACCAGCCAUCCCGCGUGCAGGAAGAAUGCCCUAUGGGUUGUAAAACUGC
rnacentral:rRNA from 1 species